UUACUACCUCGAUGUUGGCUUGUUGUACCUAUUUGGUGUAGAGGCUAAAUUUAGGAAGUCUGUUCGACUAUUAAUUCUUCAUGAGCUGAGUUAAGACCGGUGUAAGCCAGGUUGGUUCUUAUCUAUACUUGAUUCUAGCUAGUACGAAAGGAGGGUUGGGGUAUACAGUUGUAUAAUUUUAGGUUUUAGAUUUAAUAG
rnacentral:rRNA from 1 species